rnacentral:lncRNA from 1 species
AAUAGAUUUUCAUGAAGGAAAAUCACAUCCCUACCAUGAGCACAGCUGAGAACAUGAAACCUACUAUUGAGAGAUUCUGGUUAAAAUAAAGUAUUAUCCCCGAAGAUGGGCCUGUCCGUGGGGGUCUGUGGGAAGCCAGGUGGGAGGGCAUUGCAGGUCCUGCUGGAAAUGAGUAGGUGAAAAACAUCUGUCCAUCCAAGGAUGAUUAAUCUCAAUCAUGGGGCUGUUAGGAAGCCCUGGCUUUCCCUUCCUGGCAGGAGGCGAGAGUGGAUAAUUCACUGUCACAAAAGAAGGAGUAGAAGUAGGGAGGGGGAGAGGAGGCUGCAUUGUGAGCUCCGGACUCCCAAACUCAGGGGGAUGGCCACACUCCGAUUUCUUCCUUUUCGGGGCUCAAGGAAUCCUGCUCUGUCCUCCUUCCAUCCAUGCAGCCUAGCCAUCUUCCAAGCCUUGGCUCAAACCCCUCUCCUUCGUUCGGCCCUCCUUGAUGACUCACCUGGAGGUCAUCUCUCUCUGAGGUCACUCGGCAGUGCUGCUGUUUCCUUCCUCGCAUUGUUGCUGUGAAUGCUGUGUGAGGACAUCUCUGCCAUUGCCUUAUGUGCCUUCUGGGAAGAGCUGAUGAUGCCCACAUGAAAGACAAGAGCCCCAGGGACCUCUAAUGAGAGACAGGCCAUAAGAAGCCACAAUGCGGCUGGGAUCCUCUGCAGUGGAAUUAAUCUGUGUUGAAUAAUUGAGUCCUGUGCAUCUCAUUUUGAAGGCUACUAAUCAUUCCUUUCAUUUCUUUACCUUCUACAGUUGUUAACUGAGCACUGACUCUGUGCCGGGCCCAGGGGUGGGCUUCAGAACUCUUUGGGAAGGGCUAUGGUACUUGUUUCUCCAAGAACCCAGUCUAGGGAGGAGCCUGGAGUGUGUGUACACAUAAUGAGUUGGAGAAUCCCAUUCAUUUAGGUCUGGGGGUGCUUUCUGGCAGGAUGAGCACUUGGAAGCCCAGGAUGGGCUGCCCCUCCCCAGGG